rnacentral:rRNA from 1 species
UACGUAGGUGGCAAGCGUUGUCCGGAUUUACUGGGCGUAAAGCGUAUGCAGGCGGACCUUUAAGUAGGCAGUGAAAGGUUGGAGCUCAACUCUAACACGGCUAUCUAUACUGGGGGGUCUUGAGUGGCGGAGAGGAAGAGGGAACGACACGUGUAGCGGUGAAAUGCGUUGAGAUGUGUCGGAACACCAAUGGCGAAGGCAGCUCGCUGGGACGUGACUGACGCUGAGACGCGAAAAGCGUGGGGGAGCAAACAGG